rnacentral:lncRNA from 1 species
CUAUGAGUUUCUUUGGGAUUGGCCCCAUAGAUGCCCCAGUGAGCGAAAUGAGUCCUCGACUCAUUUGAGGUUCCAAAACCGAGCCCACAUGAGCCUAACCCUAAGCUAAUCAAACUCGGGUGAAUAGAGAGAAAGGAAUCGCGGCCAUUUAAGGACAAUGAGGGUCACGUCAAGGCUUGACGAGGAUAGAAGAAUGGUUUUGUCAACUCAAAAAGAAGACAACGCACCCUCCAAACCUGAAGAUGGUGGCCGUAACAUUGUGGAAUAUGUGGAAGGCCAGAAAUCAGGCAGUCUUUCGGGGUAGAAAACCAGAGGUGUCGGCUAUCAUCGACUCCGCACAAGCAAUCCUCAAAAGUUAUCAAAGGUGGAAUCAAAGGAAAGGUGGAUCCCGAGAUAGUGGUGUAGCCGAAUUUGCAAAUGGAGGAACAAGCACAGCGAUAAGAGAGAAUAAUGCAGCGCUGAGACAGGGGAAGACUCAAAUGCAGGAACAAAGAGUAACUGAUGGACUGCAAAUUAGGGUACAUGAGUUGAGAGACAAUAUGAGAUCAAGCUUGUGCGGUGAGAUGAGUCCAUGUAGAAGAGUGGUGUCGAGCACAGGAGGGGAAGACAGUAGAACACGGUGGCGAGAGGAGCACUCGUGGCCAAGCGCCUCUAACCCGCGACUGAGUAGUGCUUCCGGGUGUGAAACAGAGGAAGUAAGAACCAGUAGGCAAAAUGGCGAGCUGCGAGGAGCCAAAGAGGACAACCGAUCCCUUCACAGAUCUGGAACUCGGCGAAAAGCAUGCUGGAGGACCCACGAAGAGGGUGGAUCUGAAACUUGAGAAACCGAACCCUCCCAACUCAGCAACGAAUUUUGUUGAAUAAUCAGUGAAGCAGAGAGUGAGGUAGAUAAAGAAUUGACCAGUGGGAGAAACGGAGACCAGCAAACCCGAACCAGAUCAGAGAACGCCGAAAGGGACAGUAGAUUCGGAAGGAAAGCAAGUGCGAUGAAUGGAGAGCAGCGCACUAGGCUGAGUGAUGAGCCGCAAUGAAACCAUCGACGGCCAGAAAUGGAGGGAUGUGCUGGUGCAGGGGGCAGAGUAAGCGGCCUUAAAACCCGACCCGCUGCUCAUAGAAAAACCCUCGAAAUCGACAGAUCUGCAGCUCGCCCAACAAAACCCUCUCAGACAUGGAUUCCACCGCCAGAAGGAGCUUUGAAGAUCAACAUAGAUGGAACAUUCUUACCUGGUUCGCUGGAGAGUUCUGUUGCUUGUAUCUGCCGGGGUUCGGAGGGGAGGAUGGUGGGCGGAGAGGCAAAGACGAUCAGAGCCUCCUCCUUUUUGUUGGCCGAAACCCUAGCACUUUGGGAAGCCCUCAACUUUUACUACCCUAAAAGACAUGAAGUCUUUCACUUCGAGUCAGACAGUUCACAACUUGUUCAAGCAAUAACCAGUUUAGAGCCAUUCAAUUGGGAAGUUCAACCUAUUAUCAGCAAAUGCAAGGAAAAAAUGCAGGCCUUUUCAUAUAUUCAGAUAGCCCAUUGCUCUAGAGAAGCUAAUUGUGCUGUAGAUUGGGUAGCUAAAGCCCAUAGGAACAACUACUUAUUUCUGAAUUGGGUUUUAUCACCUCCACAAACUUUA